rnacentral:rRNA from 1 species
AUUGAACGCUGGCGGCAGGCCUAACACAUGCAAGUCGAGCGGAGCGGCGGACGGGUGAGGAAUGCCUAGGAAUCUGCCUGGUAGUGGGGGAUAACGUCCAGAAACGGGCGCUAAUACCGCAUACUAUCAGAUUAGCCUAGGUCUGAUUAGCUAGUUGGUGGGGUAAAGGCAUACCAAGGCGCCGAUCCGUAACUGGUCUGAGAGGAUGAUCAGUCACACUGGAACUGAGAAAAGUUCCAGACUCCUACGGGAGGCAGUAGUGGGGAAUAUUGGACAAUGGGCGAAAGCAUGAUCCAGCCAUGCCGCGUGUGUGAAGAAGGUCUUCGGAUUGUAAAGCACUUUAAGUUGGGAGGCGUUACCAACAGAAUAAGCACCGGCUAACUUCGUGCCAGCAGCCGCGGUAAUAC